CCAGUUCCUCCCUCCCGGGAAUGUUGAGAGAAAAUGGAGUCUGGUUAUCUCACUGUGUGGUUGGUAUCAUACAAUGGUUGGUAUGCGUUGACUGACUGUCAGUAGGCGAGGCGGUGUUUACUGCUGCUAUAGUGAAGUUCCCGAGGGUCAGAUCCUGUAAAUCACCGCAGACAGUCUGCAGGAGCUUCCCGAACCGGUGAACGUAAAAGGAGCAGUACAUAAUCACUCAAGGAUCUAGGACAUCUGUAGGCUGCUCCCAGCCUUGUUCAAAGAUGUCUGACCUGAUAAGAGGUUUCAGGGACCAGCUGACCACCAGCAUGGACUCUGUCCUGAGGAGAGCUGUGUUUGAAAUAAUGAUGAUCUUUGAGAACAGUCUACAUGAGCAUCAGAUGGAGCUGGUGCAUAAAGGAGAGGAGGUUGCUCAACUUAAAAUGAAGUUGCAGAGAGCAGAGGUUAGGUUGACUGAAAUUGAGUGUGGCGGCAGCAGAGGAGCAGAGGUGAAGAAAGGAGGGACUGAAGAUGUUGUGAACGCCCCUGAACCAACAGAUGAUGUUCCUGAGAUUCAUUUUGAAGUACCUGAUGACUGGUGUGCUCCCCUGGGCUGUGAGACCGUAACCAAGCAAGAAUAUUUAUGUCCCAGCGUAAGACUGCGCCAGCUGUCCAUUCGUCUUUCGCCGAUUUCCAUUAAGCAGGAGAUGGAUUGGCGUGACAUUGACUCCAACCAGCGAAAAAAGGGUCUCUGGAGAUCCGGGAAAGGUUCCUUAAGAAAUGAGAAAACCAUGCAGGACAGCACCAUACCAAUACAUGGCCAAGGAACUCUCUGUCCACCACUGACAACCGACAUGAAGAAAUUGCUGCAAGGCAUAAAACGGGUGCAUACUAAAACAACAAUCAGUACCAAGAGUCUAAGUCUAAAGAGCAGAAGGCAAAAUGUAAAAGAGAAAAAAAAUACAAAGAAAAUCAUUGCAAAGGAGAUGGAAAAAAAUGGCGAUGAGAAACAGUACUCCUGCAGGUUUUGUAAGAAGGAUUUUGAUACGCUGUUUGGCCGAAAUGUACAUACACGAUCACACAAGAGAUGCAAAGGUUGCAAAGAUGAAUUCCCAUCUCCAAGUGCUCUAAAUUUGCAUAAACCAUCCUGCAUAAAACUCAAAAAGUUGUUUGCAAAAAAAGUUCGAGCCACUAACCUUCCAAAACCUGAGUCCUUAGGUGAAGAAAACAAAAGAAAAGCACUUGGCAAAAAACAGGUCCCCAUUAAAAAGGAAUGCACAGCUUCCUCUAGCAAGCCCAUCGAAUCAUCUACUCAGAAAAAUGGGGGCAACACAAAUCUAACUUGUGUACACUGCAACAAGACGUGUAGUACUAGAUGGAAUCUAGAAGAGCAUUUGACUGUUCAUUCUCGUAAAAACUCAUUCUGUUGCAGCAUGUGUCCAAAGACAUUCUACAGGAGACAGUCCCUCAGAAAACACAAAAAGAAAAUGCACAGAAGCCCAAUCCGUUCCAGGGUGACAAAUGAAAACUCUGCUUGGACCAUGCCUUUAGAGAAUACUGACGAUAUUUGUGAGGAUCUGAACUCUCCCAGAAAAGAAAAAAAUCAAGCAAACAACCAUACAGAUGUUCAGACAGAUAACACUCCAGACACAGGCCCAAGCUCAAUAUGGAAAACAAUGGGCACACGCUGCCCUGAAGGUUUCAUCUGCCGACUGUGCCCGAAGUCCUGUAAAGAUAUAUACCGGCUGAUUGAGCACUUUCGCACCCACACAGGAGAGAAUCCCAUUCAAUGCAACAAUUGUUCUAAAACGUUUCGUUUUCAUUCACUGCUUAGCGCGCACAGGAAAAACUGUCUGGAAAAGAAAAAGAUAGCACAGUGUGCACAGUGCAAGAAAACGUUUUGCUCCAAUAAAUGGUACAAUAGGCAUGUCUUGAACUGUCAGAGAGGUAUGACUUAUUCCUGUGAGGUUUGUGGAAAAGGUUUCUCCCUUAGAGGAUACCUCAAGAACCAUAUGGAGCGGUUACAUAAGGACGCCAGUUUAUAGUGAAUGUCACCUGUCUGUUGUUGAAACACUGGAUUCUUUCAUUCUCAAUGAUUCCCUGCAUUUAUGUUUUUUUAUUUUGAGAAGUGUUAAGAUCACUAUAUAACUCAUACUAUGUUGGUAUUCACCAUCACAAGUUCAUGGUCACACAUUGUGUCAUUUCAUACUAAACCAACCAGGUCACAAAAACUGCCUUUUUCCACCUCAAAAGCAUUGCCCACAUCAGACCCUCCCUCUCAUCCAACGCUGCUGAAACUCUCAUCCAUGCCUUCAUAACAUCCCGACUUGAUUACUGCAACAGCAUUGUAUUUGGUUCACCUGCAUGCAUCCUAAAUAAACUGCAAUAUGUCCAAAACUCUGCUGCCCGCUUGCUCGUCUCCACCCUACGCUCUGAUCACCUCACCCCUAUCGUCCACGACCUCCACUGGCUCCCCAUAAAACACCGGAUUGACCCCCCCCCCUACCUUGGUGACCUCAUCUGACAACACACCUCUACCCGUUGCCUCAGGUCUGCUGACGCUAAUCUACUACAGCCCAUCAGGACAGAGCUCCGGGCCUGGGGCGACGGGGCCUUUGCCGCAGCUUCCCCCACCCUGUGGAACUCCCUUCCCAGUCACAUCUGAAAGGCCAACACUCUGGGAUCCUUAAAAAAAGCUCUCAAAACUCACUUAAUCACUCUAGUUUUCUAUCUCUAAUCAACUCCCCUCCCCCCUGCUUACUCUGCGUUUAGGACUUUUUAAAAAAAUGUUUUAAUUUUUUCUGUUUUGAUUUUAUGUAAAGCGUCUUUGAGCAUUAGGAAAAGUGCUCUAUACAUCGUAUGUAUUAUUAUUAAAGAGCUUCUUUUAAUGAAUUAAAAUGUUUAAAGUGUUUUUCCACUGUGUUCCUUAUUCAUGGAUUUUGAUCUAUUGCAGUUCAAUCAGAAUUUGAAAAUGCAUACUUUAAACACUUAUUCAUAUUUCUGGUAAUGUUUUUUGUUGUUUAGGCAAACCCUUUAUAAUUAGCUUUGCAAUUUAAGUGUACUUGUGGGAGAAAUGUAAAUUCUUUCUUGCUAACUGACAGAUAUGCGAAAAGAUUACACUGGGGAGGACUUCAAAGUUAUUUCAUCCCAUGCUUGAGUCCUGAAACAAAACUGAAGUACAUAUAUUUGACAGUUUCAACUGUUUCAUGUUUUUUACAUUUUUGUGGGUAUUCAUUGUUGAUAUGGACUCAGUGGGACAUCUUACUUGACUAUUGCUCUUUAUUUUCUUAGUAAUACGUGUUAUCACUGGACAUUGUCAACAAUAACCUAUUAAAAAUAUUUACUGUA